rnacentral:rRNA from 1 species
GGGUUGUGAGGUUAAGCGACUAAGCGUACACGGUGGAUGCCCUGGCAGGUCAGAGGCGAUGAAGGACGUGCUAAUCUGCGAUAAGCGUCGGUAAGGUGAUAUGAACCGUUAUAACCGGCGAUUUCCGAAUGGGGAAACCCAGUGUGUUUCGACACACUAUCAUUAACUGAAUCCAUAGGUUAAUGAGGCGAACCGGGGGAACUGAAACAUCUAAGUACCCCGAGGAAAAGAAAUCAACCGAGAUUCCCCCAGUAGCGGCGAGCGAACGGGGAGCAGCCCAGAGCCUGAAUCAGUGUGUGUGUUAGUGGAAGCGUCUGGAAAGGCGCGCGAUACAGGGUGACAGCCCCGUACACAAAAAUGCACAUGCUGUGAGCUCGAUGAGUAGGGCGGGACACGUGGUAUCCUGUCUGAAUAUGGGGGGACCAUCCUCCAAGGCUAAAUACUCCUGACUGACCGAUAGUGAACCAGUACCGUGAGGGAAAGGCGAAAAGAACCCCGGCGAGGGGAGUGAAAAAGAACCUGAAACCGUGUACGUACAAGCAGUGGGAGCACGCUUAGGCGUGUGACUGCGUACCUUUUGUAUAAUGGGUCAGCGACUUAUAUUCUGUAGCAAGGUUAACCGAAUAGGGGAGCCGAAGGGAAACCGAGUCUUAACUGGGCGUUAAGUUGCAGGGUAUAGACCCGAAACCCGGUGAUCUAGCCAUGGGCAGGUUGAAGGUUGGGUAACACUAACUGGAGGACCGAACCGACUAAUGUUGAAAAAUUAGCGGAUGACUUGUGGCUGGGGGUGAAAGGCCAAUCAAACCGGGAGAUAGCUGGUUCUCCCCGAAAGCUAUUUAGGUAGCGCCUCGUGAAUUCAUCUCCGGGGGUAGAGCACUGUUUCGGCAAGGGGGUCAUCCCGACUUACCAACCCGAUGCAAACUGCGAAUACCGGAGAAUGUUAUCACGGGAGACACACGGCGGGUGCUAACGUCCGUCGUGAAGAGGGAAACAACCCAGACCGCCAGCUAAGGUCCCAAAGUCAUGGUUAAGUGGGAAACGAUGUGGGAAGGCCCAGACAGCCAGGAUGUUGGCUUAGAAGCAGCCAUCAUUUAAAGAAAGCGUAAUAGCUCACUGGUCGAGUCGGCCUGCGCGGAAGAUGUAACGGGGCUAAACCAUGCACCGAAGCUGCGGCAGCGACGCUUAUGCGUUGUUGGGUAGGGGAGCGUUCUGUAAGCCUGUGAAGGUGUGCUGUGAGGCAUGCUGGAGGUAUCAGAAGUGCGAAUGCUGACAUAAGUAACGAUAAAGCGGGUGAAAAGCCCGCUCGCCGGAAGACCAAGGGUUCCUGUCCAACGUUAAUCGGGGCAGGGUGAGUCGACCCCUAAGGCGAGGCCGAAAGGCGUAGUCGAUGGGAAACAGGUUAAUAUUCCUGUACUUGGUGUUACUGCGAAGGGGGGACGGAGAAGGCUAUGUUGGCCGGGCGACGGUUGUCCCGGUUUAAGCGUGUAGGCUGGUUUUCCAGGCAAAUCCGGAAAAUCAAGGCUGAGGCGUGAUGACGAGGCACUACGGUGCUGAAGCAACAAAUGCCCUGCUUCCAGGAAAAGCCUCUAAGCAUCAGGUAACAUCAAAUCGUACCCCAAACCGACACAGGUGGUCAGGUAGAGAAUACCAAGGCGCUUGAGAGAACUCGGGUGAAGGAACUAGGCAAAAUGGUGCCGUAACUUCGGGAGAAGGCACGCUGAUAUGUAGGUGAAGUCCCUCGCGGAUGGAGCUGAAAUCAGUCGAAGAUACCAGCUGGCUGCAACUGUUUAUUAAAAACACAGCACUGUGCAAACACGAAAGUGGACGUAUACGGUGUGACGCCUGCCCGGUGCCGGAAGGUUAAUUGAUGGGGUCAGCGCAAGCGAAGCUCUUGAUCGAAGCCCCGGUAAACGGCGGCCGUAACUAUAACGGUCCUAAGGUAGCGAAAUUCCUUGUCGGGUAAGUUCCGACCUGCACGAAUGGCGUAAUGAUGGCCAGGCUGUCUCCACCCGAGACUCAGUGAAAUUGAACUCGCUGUGAAGAUGCAGUGUACCCGCGGCAAGACGGAAAGACCCCGUGAACCUUUACUAUAGCUUGACACUGAACAUUGAGCCUUGAUGUGUAGGAUAGGUGGGAGGCUUAGAAGUGUGGACGCCAGUCUGCAUGGAGCCGACCUUGAAAUACCACCCUUUAAUGUUUGAUGUUCUAACGUUGACCCGUAAUCCGGGUUGCGGACAGUGUCUGGUGGGUAGUUUGACUGGGGCGGUCUCCUCCUAAAGAGUAACGGAGGAGCACGAAGGUUGGCUAAUCCUGGUCGGACAUCAGGAGGUUAGUGCAAUGGCAUAAGCCAGCUUGACUGCGAGCGUGACGGCGCGAGCAGGUGCGAAAGCAGGUCAUAGUGAUCCGGUGGUUCUGAAUGGAAGGGCCAUCGCUCAACGGAUAAAAGGUACUCCGGGGAUAACAGGCUGAUACCGCCCAAGAGUUCAUAUCGACGGCGGUGUUUGGCACCUCGAUGUCGGCUCAUCACAUCCUGGGGCUGAAGUAGGUCCCAAGGGUAUGGCUGUUCGCCAUUUAAAGUGGUACGCGAGCUGGGUUUAGAACGUCGUGAGACAGUUCGGUCCCUAUCUGCCGUGGGCGCUGGAGAACUGAGGGGGGCUGCUCCUAGUACGAGAGGACCGGAGUGGACGCAUCACUGGUGUUCGGGUUGUCAUGCCAAUGGCACUGCCCGGUAGCUAAAUGCGGAAGAGAUAAGUGCUGAAAGCAUCUAAGCACGAAACUUGCCCCGAGAUGAGUUCUCCCUGACUCCUUGAGAGUCCUGAAGGAACGUUGAAGACGACGACGUUGAUAGGCCGGGUGUGUAAGCGCAGCGAUGCGUUGAGCUAACCGGUACUAAUGAACCGUGAGGCUUAACCUUACAACGCCGAAGGUGUUU